GCCUUUGGUAACCUAGCUUUAUAAUCUAUCAACUACAAUCAUACAGCUAGAUAACCAAAGAC
rnacentral:pre_miRNA from 1 species